rnacentral:rRNA from 1 species
UCCGUAGGUGGAUCAAUCAGUCAGAGGUGAAAUCCUGCAGCUUAACUGUAGAACUGCCUUUGAUACUGUUGAUCUUGAGUCAUUAUGAAGUGGUUAGAAUGUGUAGUGUAGCGGUGAAAUGCAUAGAUAUUACACAGAAUACCGAUUGCGAAGGCAGAUCACUAAUAAUGUACUGACGCUGAGGAACGAAAGCGUGGGGAGCGAACAGGAUUAGAUACCCUGGUAGUCC